rnacentral:rRNA from 1 species
UACGUAGGGUGCGAGCGUUAAUCGGAAUUACUGGGCGUAAAGCGUGCGCAGGCGGUUCGUUGUGUCGGCGGUGAAAGCCCCGGGCUCAACCUGGGAACUGCAUCCGAUACUGGAUGGCUUGAAUUCGGGAGAGGGAUGCAGAAUUCCAGGUGUAGCGGUGAAAUGCGUAGAUAUCUGGAGGAAUACCGGUGGCGAAGGCGGCAUCCUGGACCGACAUUGACGCUGAGGAGCGAAAGCUAGGGGAGCAAACGGG